UGGGGCUAUAGCUCAGCUGGGAGAGCACCUGCUUUGCAAGCAGGGGGUCCGCGGUUCGAUCCCGCGUAGCUCCACCAA
rnacentral:tRNA from 1 species